UUUUGACCAAUCCAUGCUUUACACAUAAUUCUUUUGUCCAUUCUAACAAACUCAAAUGCAAAAUUCACACAUCUUACUAAUUUAUAUUCACAAUUUGCAUUUACCCAUACACAUUUACAUGGAAGGAAUCUUUUUUGGUAUUAUUUUAACACACUUUUCCACGUAUUCACAUACUGCACAUGCCAUCCGUCCAUAUAUAUCCACACAAUAAUAACUGCACAACUUUUCCUCCAAGCAACUCUCCAUAUGUAAUCACCAAGGUAGAGAACAGAAAACAGAGAAGAACGAAGGGGCUGGGGGGAAAAAGAGAACAGGGAAAAGGGAACAAAAAAGAGAACGGACUGAUCUGGGGAACGAAAAUACAAGGGAAAGGGGAUUUUCACAACAAAAAAUGGGAAAAGGGGUUGGGCAGAUUUCAGAAAACACACACAAAGCCACACACAAAAAUAAAAAAGGGAACAAAACGAGGAGGGGAGCUGGAUAUAAAUAAAAUGAACGAGCACCUUCCCUGAUAAAGCUCAGCCACAUCUAAUUUCCAAGAACGACAACCUCCCAAAACCAAGCUAAUCCCCCUUCACCCUAUGACAACAUGCCCUCCUCUAUAACAUAAACGAAAUGAAAAUGACGAGAAACAGAGGGGAAAGAGUAGAGAGAAUAAACCAAGCAUAAAAUCAAGAUCUUAAAAAAAAGAAAACACAACCUUCUUCUUCAUAAAAGAUCUAGCUCUAAAACCAACCUUUAUCAGUCAGAAAUGAGCUUUCAAACUCCAUAAACACAGCAGUUUGGUCUUCUUCACCAUCGAUUCGAGUUUUCGUCUGCGGUUCGUCACAUUUUUUGAGUUCAAAGCUGUCAAACAAUUGAAUUUCUGACUUAUUUGAGGUUUAUUUCUCCCUUUCCGCUAUUGUUUUUGCUUAAGGUCAUGCUUUUGUUUUGAUAGGCUCGUUAAUCAGUCUAUGUUCUGUUUUGUUGAUCGUCUGAGUUUAACCUUUAUUCCUAUGUUUUGGAAUGUGUCCUAUUAGUAUUUGGUUUGUUUAUUUUUGUUUCGCUAAUUGUUGUUUAUAUAUGGUUUGGUUUAAUCUUCUUGGAUAGAUUUUCAUGACUAAAAAUGAGUUCGGUUUCCCCGAUUCAUUGCUACACUAAGGUAUAGAUGUUUAAUGAGUGUUAGAUUAAAAUUUUGGUGACUUCAAGCAUCUGGCAACACCUCAAAUGAAAACUGACGUGUCUAAAAUGUAGUCUAAAUGAAAAUUAAAACAAAAUGAAGUAGAAGAAUUGAAAUUGCAACACUUAAAUGUCACAUGCUUCUAAAAGUUCUUUUGGCCUCACAAUAAUUUCAAACAUAGAAAACUAAAUAAUUUAUGAACAUCAUAGUUGUGACGACCCAGCCAGUCGUCUCAUGAGUACCGCUCUAUUUCCUCCAUUUCAGCUUCUUUAUGAUUCGUUAUCCGUGUUUUGUGGUAUUGGGUUGGACAGAUCGAGUCCGGAAUGAGUUUGGUGAAGUUUGAGACACUUAGUCUCUUUUAAGAAGGCUUAAGUUGGAAAAGUCAAUUGGAUGUUGACUUAUGUGUUAGAGGGCUCGGAUAUGAGUUCUGAUGAUUCUGUUAGCUUUGGGAGGUGAUUUGUGACUUAGGAGCAUGAUCAUAAUGGGUUUUGGAGGUUCGGAGUAGACUUAGGCUUGAAUUGGUGAAAUUGAUAUUUUGGCGAAUUUCAGUUGAUAGGCGAGAUUUUGAUAUAAGGGUCGGAAUGGAACUCCGAGAGUUGUAGUAGCUUCGUUGUAUCAAUUGGGAUAUGUGUGUAAAAUUUUAGGUCAUUUGGACGUGGUUUGGUUGGGUUUUUCAUCAAAAGCGUAUUCGGAAAAUUUUAGAAACUUAGGCUUGAAUCUGAUGUGAUUUGGUAGAUUUGAUGUUGUUUGGGGUUUUUUGAUGAUUGGAACAAGUUUGAAUAAGGUAUUGGGUUAUGUUUGUGCUUUUGGUUGAGGUCCCAGGGGGCCUCGGGAUGAUUUUGGGUGGUUAACGGGGAAGUUGAAGUGUAAUUGCAGCUGCUGAAGUUUUGCUGCUUCUGGAGUUUUCUUACCUGCGAUUUGGGGACCGCAGGUGCGGCACCGCAUAUGCGUUGGAUUGGCCAUAGAAGCGAAUCUUGGGAAGAAUGUCUGGAACCGCAUAUGCGGUAGAGGGACCGCACCUGCGGAGUAGCAGAUGCUGUUUAGGCUAGAUUAGUGAAUUUUCGCAGAAGCAGAGUUUUGACUGCAAAUGCGGUACCGCAGAUGCGGUGGGUAUGCCGCAGAUGCGGAAAAGCCUGGGCAAAAUGCAUAUAUUUCUUCCUUCACGAUUUUUUAAGGGUUUAACCAUUUUUAAACUGGAAAUUGGGAGCUUUGGGCGAUUUUGAGGAGAGGAAUCAAAGGGACUUCGUUAAGGUAUGGAUUUUGAAACCUAAAACACACUUCUAAAAAUGGAGGAUUAGGGCUUGAGUUUAAGAGGCCUUAAGUUGAGAAUUUGAAGGGUCAUUUAAACUCUGAUUUUGGUAUUCUUGAUACGUAUAGACUCGUGGGGAGAUAAGGAAUCUAAUGAUGUAAAAAUUUCUGAGUUUCGAGAAGUGGGCCCAAGGCUCAGGUUUUGAUAAUUUCGGAAUUUUUGGUAUUUUUCGAUUGUUUUCACUUGGGCUUCAUUACCUUAGCAUAUUUUGACGCCGUGACUCUGAUUUUGAAUAGAUUCGAUACGAGUGGAGGCCGAUUCGAGGAGAAAAGGCAUCCCGGAGUAGUAUUUUCACCUGUUUGAGGUAAGUAACCAUUGUAAAUCUGGAACUGAGGGUACAAAACCCCGAUAGUUGUCUUGUUUUGAUAAAAGCGGUGGCGCUCAUGCUAGGUGACGAGCGCAUGAGCGUGCAUCGGUAGGGAUUUCCACCUGGUCCGUCCCAUAGCAAUUAUUAAGUCACGUAUUUGAUUUGAAAAUACUAUGUUAUUCCGUAUUUUGGAUAUUUGUACUGUAUUAUGGGUUGUAUCCCAUGUUUGGGACCUUGUAUCGACCUGUAGAAACCCUUAGGGGUAUUUUGACUAUUUUUCCUCACUUUACUUGCUAAAAGCAUAUCCUCAGUCGUUUUUUACCUGUUUAAAAGCUAAAACUGGUUUCAUCGCUUUACUCCUAAUUGUGAGGACUAUUUGGGCUGAGUUCCCUGAUUCCUAUUGUUGUGCCCGAGAGGUUGUGAGGUUAAGGACUGAGAGAGGUUGAUAACCCAAUUGUGAGAAUAUUAUAUGUAUAUAUUAUGGAUCAGGAUGCACGGCGCAUCGAUACUUAUAUGGAUCGGGCUGCACAUCGCAGCGAUAUAUAUAUUGGAUUGGGCUGCACGCAGCAAAUAUGAUGCUUGGGCUGUAAGAGCCCCUCCGAAGUCUGCACACCCCCAGUGAGCGUAGUCGACUAUAAAUGUAUGGAUCAGGUUGCACGCCACAAUGGUUACUAUGAUUUCUAUUAUUAUGAGAUAUAAAUGAGAUGAAUGCUGAGAGUGAGUACUAAGUGACGAGAGUUGAGUCACGAGUCACUGAGAGGCUGCCCGAGGGGCCAGAUUCUGUCUGAUUCCUUUCUCGAGAGGCCUUGUCUUGAUGUUUUCACUGAUUUCACUCUUAUUUUAAAUAAGCCUCUAUUUGAUAUACAGCUAUGUAAUUGGUUCCAAAUGUUUAAACAGGAAAUGUGGUUUUAUAACAAAAAAUGAUUUUUGAACCGUAAAGAUGACAUGUUAUUUCGUUGGUUAUUCCGUUAUGUGUUUUUGAACUGCUCAUCACUACUUUCAGACCUUAUUUACUUUAGUUACAUAUUGAGUUGGCGUACUCACGUUACUCCCUGCACCUUGAGUCCAGAUCCAAGUGCCCGAGUGAGCAUUAUUUAGUUGGUUCAGUUUUCUGUCGGGGAUUUCGAGGUAGCAACAUGGCGUUCGUAGCCCUGUUCUCUACCUUCUAUCUUGUUAUCUUUUUAGUAUUUUCUAGACUAUCUAUGUAGUAGGAUGUUUGGACUUGCAUUAGAGGCUCUAGACUCAUGACACCAGAUCAGUUGGGCUGUGUAGUUUAUUAUUAUUUUGACUUCCACAUAUUUUCUGUCAUUUUAAACAUUUAUUAUGAAAUCGGUGUUUAAAACUCGUGUUGGAAAUGUUUUCUUACUAAAGGAAAUGGGUUGUGGUUAGUGGACUGGUUGGCUUGCCUAGUAAUGUGACAAGUUGGUAUCAGAGCCUAGGUUACAUAGGUCUCGUGAGUCAUGAGCUGGUUUAGUAGAGUCUCGCGGAUGAGUAUGGAGACAUUUGUAUUUAUCCUCGAGACGCUGCAGAACCUUUAAGAAAAACUUCAUAUUCUUGAAAUUCUUGUCGUGCAAAUUUCUUGAUCCGAGUAUUAAACAUAUGAUAUUCCAUUCUCUCACAGAUGGUGAGGAUACGUGCUACCGAGUAGGGCGGAUGAUCGCUAGUACCACCAGCUGGGGUCACCGGAGGCCGAGGUCGCGGUCGAGGCCGUGGUAGGGGCAGAGCAGCUAGAGUAGCACCGACAGAUCCACCAGCUGCCCUAGUUCCGGAUCAGGUCCUGGUUGUGGAUGUUAUAGCAGCACCGGUUCAGGUACCAGCUGUGCCUAUUGUGAUCCCAGGUCUCCAGGAGGCUUUAGCUCAGAUAUUAUCAGUUUGUACCGGUUUGGCUCAGGCGGUUUCAGCUACUAUGGCCGCAGCUACUUCCCAGGCCGGGGGAGUCACCCAGACUCCCGUUGCUCGCACACCUGAGUAGGUAGUGAAGGGAUUACAGACAAUGGGGGCACCUCAAGCCCAGCCGGUUGCACCAGCUCAGAAGUUUGUAGUACCAGUUAUGCCAGAUGAUGAGCAGCGUCGACUUGAGAUGUUUGGUAGGCUCCAACCUCCGUCAUUCAGCGGUGCAGAGGGCGAGGAUGCCUAGGGGUUCUUGGAUAAGUGCUAGCGAAUGCUUCAUACAGCAGGGAUUCUUGAGACUAGUGGUGUGGUAUUUACUACAUUUUAGUUUUCUAGGGCUGCCUUCACUAGGUAGGAGGCGUAUGAGAGGCGUAGGCCUGUUGGUGUAGCGCCCCUUACUUGGUAGCAGUUCUCUGUUCUCUUCCUGGAUAAGUAUGUACCACAGUAGCACCGAGAGGAGCUGCGCAAGCAGUUUGAGCAGCUGCGCUAGGGGGAGAUGACGGUGACGCAGUAUGAGAUGCGGUUUUCUGAGUUAGCUCGUCAUGCGGUUUGGAUGGUUCCUACCGACUAAGAGAGGAUAAGGAGGUUUGUUGAUCGCCUCACGUACCAGCUUCAGAUUCUCAUAACUAGGGAGAGAGUGACAGGUGCUACCUUCGAGGAGGUUGUUGAUAUCGCCCGUGAGAUUGAGUCGGUUCACCGGCAGAAGCGAGAGGAGAGGGAGGCCAAGAGGCCUCAGGGAUCUGGUAGAUUUAGUAGUGCUCCUUCGAGGGGUCAGUUCUAGUAGGGCAGAGGCUGUUCAUUCAGGCAUGCUCAUUCAACUCGCCCGGGUUGCCGUGGAGUAUCAUCGGGUCAUGGCUUUCAUAGUUCUCAUCAGGGCCACUCAUCACUUAGUGCCCUUCCAGCUCAGAGCUCGUCUCGUGCUCUAUCAGUCUAGGGUUCUUCCAUGCCAGGUCCUUCUACUUGUCACUCUGGUGUCAGGGGUUCCCUUCAGUCCCCAUCUCCAGCACCGGGGAGUUAUUAUGAAUGUGGCUGUUUUGGGCAUAUGAGGAGGCAAUGUCCUUGUCUUCGUGAUGGUCAGUCUCAGCAGAGGGAUCAGCCCUCAACUUCUGCUCCAGUUACUUCACCACCCGUCCAGCCCGCUAGUGGUGGAGGUUAGGCAACCAGGGGUCGCCCAGAAGGGGAGGUCGAUCAGGCGGUGGUCAGGAUCGUUUCUAUGCUAUCCCAGGUAGACCAAAUGCUAUUGCUUCGGAUACUGUCAUUACAUGUAUUGUUUCAGUCUGCCAUAGAGAUGCCUCUAUAUUAUUUGAUCCCGGUUCCACCUUUUCUUAUGUGUCCUCGUACUUUGCUCAUUAUUUGGGUACACCCCGGGAGUUUCUUGCUUUACCUGUUCAUGUAUCUACCCCGGUAGGUGAUACUAUUGUUGUAGACCGUAUGUACCGGUCAUGUGUGGUGACUAUUGGGGGUCUGGAGACCCAAGUGGAUCUGUUAUUACUGAGUAUGGUUGAUUUUGAUGUCAUUUUGGGAAUUGAUUGGUUAUCUCCGUAUCGUGCUAUUCUAGACUGUCAUGCCAAGACAAUCACUUUGGCUAUGCCGGGUAUGCCACGGAUCGAGUGGCGAGGUGUGACUGAUUACGUUCCUAGUAGAGUUAUCUUUUUUUUGAAUGCCCAUCGUAUGGUUGGGAAGGGUUGUCUUUCAUAACUAGCAUUUUGUGAGGGAUGUUGGAUCUGAGGCUCCCAGUAUUGAUUCUGUCCUAGUUGUAAGGGAUUUUCCAGAUGUGUUUCCUGCAGACCUGCCGGGCAUGCCAUCGGAUAGGGAUAUUGAUUUUGGUAUUGAUCUAGUGUCGGGCACUUAGCCCAUUUCUAUUCUGCUGUAUCGUAUGGCACCAGCAGAGUUGAAGGAGUUAAAAGAGAAGCUUCAGGAACUCCUUGAUAAAGGGUUCAUUCGGCUUAGUGUGUCACCUUGGGGUGCGCCUGUUCUAUUUGUGAAGAAGAAGGAUGGCACAAUGAGAAUGUGCAUUGAUUAUAGGCAAUUGAAUAAGGUAAUAAUUAAGAACAAGUAUCCUUUGCCUCACAUUGAUGAUUUGUUUGACCAGCUUCAGGGAGCGACAGUGUUCUCCAAGAUUGAUCUCCGUUCGGGCUAUCACCAGUUGAAGAUCAGGGAUUCAGAUAUAAUUAAGCGGCUUUCAAGACCCGAUAUGGUCAUUAUAAGUUCUUGGUAAUGUCUUUUGGGCUGACCAAUGCCCCAACAUCGUUCAUGCAUUUGAUGAACAGCGUGUUCCGGCCUUAUCUUUAUUCGUUUGUCAUAAUCUUCAUUGAUGAUAUUCUGGUGGAUUCCCGUAGUCAAGAGGAGCACGCGGAGCAUUUGAAAGUGGUAUUGCAGAGAUUGAGGGAUGAGAAACUUUAUGCAAAAUUCUCCAAGUGUGAGUUUUGGCUUGGUUCAGUGGCUUUCUUGGGGCACGUGGUGUCCAGCAAGGGUAUUCAGGUUGAUCUAAAGAAGAUAGAUGCGGUUCAAAGUUGGCCUAGGCCGUCCUCAGCCAUAGAGAUUCGCAGCUUUCUUGGCUUGGUAGGCUAUUAUUGCCGGUUUGUUUAGGGAUUCUCAUCUAUUGCAUCGCCCUUGACCAAGUUGACUCGCAAUGGUGCUCCAUUUGUAUGGUUAGACAAGUGUGAGGAGAGCUUUUAGAAGCUCAAGACACCUUUGACCACAACUCCAGUGUUAUUUUUGCCAUCAGCUUUAGGCUCCUAUACCGUGUAUUGUGAUACUUCAAGAGUUGGUAUUGGUUGUGUGUUGAUGCAGGAGGGUAGAGUUAUUGAUUAUGCUUCUCGUCAAUUGAAGCCCCAUGAGAAGAACUACCACGUUCAUGAUUUGGAGUUGGCUGCCAUAGUUCACGCAUUGAAGAUUUGGAUACAUUACUUGUAUGGCGCAUCUUGUGAAGUGUUCACUGAUAAUCGCAGUCUUCAGCAUUUGUUCAAGUAAAAGGAUCUUAAUUUGAGGCAGCGAAGAUGGUUGGAGUUGCUUAAGGAUUAUGAUAUUACGAUAUUGUAUCAUCCGGGAAAAGCCAAUGUGGUGGUCGAUGCUUUGAGCUGAAAGGCAGUGAGUAUGGGGAGUUUGGCAUAUAUUCCAGUUGGGGAGAGACCCCUUGCUAUUGAUGUUUAGGCCUUGGCCAAUCGGUUAGUGAGGUUAUAUAUUUUGUAGCCCAGUCGGGUGUUGCCUUGUAUGGUUUCUCGGUCUUCCUUAUAUGAUCGCAUCAGAGAACGCCAGUAUGAUGAUCCACAUUUGCUUGUCCUUAGGGACAUAGUUCAGCAUGAUGAUGCCAGGGAUGUAACCAUCGGUAAUGAUGGGGUGUUAAGGAUGCAGGGCUGAAUUUGUGUGCCCAAUGUAGAUGGGAUUCGGGAGUUUAUUCUGGAGGAAGCCCAUAGCUCACGGUAUUCCAUUCAUCCGGGUGCCGCGAAGAUGUAUCAGGAUUUGAGACAGCACUAUUGGUGGAGGAGAAUGAAGAAAGAUAUUGUGGGAUUUGUAGCUGGGUGUCUCAAUUGUCAGCAGGUGAAAUAUGAGCAUCAGAGACCGGGUGGCUUACUUCAGCAGAUGGUUAUUCUUGAGUGGAAGUGGAAGAGGAUCACUAUGGACUUUGUUGUUGGACUUCCACGGACUUUGAAGAAGUUUGAUGCUAUUUGGGUGAUUGUGGAUCGGCUGACCAAGUCCGCGCACUUCAUUCCUAUGUGUACUACCUAUUCUUCAGAGCGGUUGGUAGUGAUCUAUAUCCGGGAGAUUGUUCGUUUGUAUGGUGUUCUAGUUUCCAUCAUUCGGAUAGAGGUACUCAGUUUACCUCACGGUUUUGAAGGGUCGUACAGAGCGAGUUGGGUACUCAGGUUGAGUUGAGCACAACUUUUCAUCCUCAGACGGACGGACAGUACGUAUGUACUAUUCAAAUAUUGGAGGACAUGUUGCGUGCUUGCGUCAUGAAUUUCGGUGGAUCAUGGGAUAAGUUUCUACCGCUCGCAGAGUUUGCUUAUAACAAUAGUUUCCAGUCGAGUAUUCAGAUGGCUCCAUAUGAGGCUUUGUAUGGGAGGCGGGGUAGAUCUCUAAUUGAUUGGUUCGAGCCCAGUGAGGCUAGGCUAUUAGGGACUGAUUUGGUGCAGGAUGCUUUGGAGAAGGCAAAGAUGAUUCAGGAGAGGCUUCGUGCAGCGCAGUUGAGACAAAAGAGUUUUGCCAGUAGAAAGGUUCGAGAUGUGUCCUACAUGGUUAGCGAGAAGGUUCUGUUGAAGGUUUUACCCAUGAAGGGUGUCAUGAGAUUUGGGAAGAAAGGGAAAUUUAGUCUGCGGUUCAUUGGGUCUUUUGAGGUGCUUCAUGGGGUUGGGUAGGUGGCUUAUGAGCUUGCUUUGCCGCCCAUCUUGUCGAGUGUGCAUCCGGUAUUUCAUGUUUCUAUGCUCCGGAAGUAUAUUGGAGAUCCCUCUCAUGGUUUGGACUUUAGCACAGUUCAGCUGGAUGAUGAUUUGACCUAUGAUAUGGAGCUAAUAGCCAUUUUGGGUCGUCAGGUUCAAAAGUUGAGGUCAAAAGAUAUAGCGUCAGUGAAAGUGUAGUGGAGGGGUCGGCCCGUGGAGUAGGCUACCUGGUAGACAGAGCGGGAGAUGCAGAGUAGAUAUACUCACCUAUUUGAGGCUUCAGGUAUGUUUUUUGACUCGUUCGAGGACAAACGUUUGUUUAAGUUGGGGAGGAUGUGACGACCAGCCCAGUCGUCUCAUGAGUACCGCUCCAUUUCCUCCAUUUCAGCUUCUUUAUGCUUCGUUAUCCAUGUUUUGUGGUAUCGGGUUGGUCGGAUUGAGUUCGGAAUGAGUUUUGUGAAGUUUGAGACACUUAGUCUCUUUUAAGAAGGCUUAGGUUGGAAAAGUCAAUCGGAUGUUGACUUAUGUGUUAGAGGGCUCGGAUAUGAGUUUUGAUGGUUCGGUUAGCUUCGGGAGGUGAUUUGUGACUUAUGAGCGUGAUCAGAAUGGGUUGUGGAGGUUCGGAGUAGACUUAGGCUUGAAUUGGCGAAAUUGAUAUUUUGGCGAAUUCCGGUUGAUAGGCGAGAUUUUGAUAUAGGGGUCGGAAUGGAACUCCGAGAGUUGCAGUAUCUUCGUUGUGUCAAUUGGGAUAUGUGUGUAAAAUUUCAGGUCAUUCGGACGUGCUUUGGUUGGGUUUUUGAUCAAAAGCGUAUUUCGAAAUUUUUUAGAAACUUAGGCUUGAAUCCGAUGUGAUUUGGUAGAGUUGAUGUUGUAUGGGGUGUUUUGAUGAUUGGAACAAGUUUGAAUAAGGUAUUGGGUUAUGUUUGUGCUUUUAGUUGAGGACUCGGGGGUCCUCGGGAUGAUUUCGUGUGGUUAACGGGGAAGUUGAAGUGUAAUUGCAGCUGCUGAAGUUUUGUUGCUUCUGGUGUUUUCGCACCUGCGGUUUGGGGACUGCAGGUGCGGCGCCGCAUAUGCGUUGGAUUGUCCGCAAAAGCGGAUCUUGGGAAGAAUGUCUGGAACCGCAGAUGCGGUAGAGGGACCGCACCUGCAGAGUCGUAGAUGUGGCUAGUAGACCGCAGAUGCGGUUUAGGCUGGAUUAAUGAAUUUCCACAGAAGUGGAGUUUUGACCGCAAAUGCGGUACCGCAAAUGCGGUACCGCAGAUGCGGUGGGUGUGCUGCAGAUGUGGAAAAGCCUGGGCAAAAUGUAUAUAUUUCUUCCUUCGCGAUUUUUGAACGGUUUAACCAUUUUUAAACUCGGAAUUGGAAGCUUUGGGCAAUUUUGAUGAGAGAAAUCAAAGAGACUUCAUUAAGGUAAGGAUUUUAGACCUAAAACACACUACUAUGGUAAUAUUUCAUGGAUUAAGGCUGCAAUUAAAGGAAUUAAAAGGAGGCCUUAAAUUGAGAAUUUGAGGGGUCAUUUGAACUCCGAUUUUGGUACUCUUGAUACGUAUAGACUCGUGGGGAGAUAAGGAAUCUAAUGAUGUGAAAAUUUUUGAGUUUUGAGAAGUGGGCCCGGGGCUCGGGUUUUGAUAAUUUCGGGAUUUUUGGUAUUUUUCGAUUGUUUUCACUUGGGCUUCAUUCCUUUAGCAUAUUUUGACGCCGUGAUUCUGAUUUUGAAUAGAUUCGACGUGAGUGGACGCUGAUUCGAGGGGCAAAGGCAUUNNNNNNNNNNNNNNNNNNNNNNNNNNNNNNNNNNNNNNNNNNNNNNNNNNNNNNNNNNNNNNNNNNNNNNNNNNNNNNNNNNNNNNNNNNNNNNNNNNNNNNNNNNNNNNNNNNNNNNNNNNNNNNNNNNNNNNNNNNNNNNNNNNNNNNNNNNNNNNNNNNNNNNNNNNNNNNNNNNNNNNNNNNNNNNNNNNNNNNNNNNNNNNNNNNNNNNNNNNNNNNNNNNNNNNNNNNNNNNNNNNNNNNNNNNNNNNNNNNNNNNNNNNNNNNNNNNNNNNNNNNNNNNNNNNNNNNNNNNNNNNNNNNNNNNNNNNNNNNNNNNNNNNNNNNNNNNNNNNNNNNNNNNNNNNNNNNNNNNNNNNNNGGCGCACAUGCUAGGUGACGAGCGCGUGGGUGUGAACCGGUAGGGAUUGCGACCUGAUCUGUCCCGUAGCGACUACUAAGCCGAGUAUUUGAUUUGGAAAUACUAUGUUAUUCCGUAUUUUGGAUAUUUAUACUAUAUUAUGGGUUGUAUGCCAUGUUUGGGGCCUUGUGCCGACCUGUAGAAACCCUUGGUGGCAUUUUGAUUGUUUUUCCUCACUUUACUUGCUAAAAGCAUAUCCUCAGUCGUGUUUUACCUAUUUAAAAGCUAAAAUUGGUUUUAUCGCUUUACUCCUAAUUGUGAGGAUUGUUUGGGCUGAGUUCCCUAAUUCAUGUUGUUGUGCCCGAGAGGUUGUGAGGUUAAAGACUGAGAGAUGUUGAGAACUCAAUUGUGAGGAUAUUAUAUGUAUAUAUUAUGGAUCGGGCUGCAUGCAACAUCGAUACUUAUAUAGAUCGAGUUGCACGCCGCAUCGAUAUAUAUAUAUAUAUAUAUAUAUAUAUAUAUAUAUUGUAUCGGGCUGCACGCCGCAACGGUUACUAUGAUUUCUAUUAUUAUGAGAUAUAAAUGAGCUGAGUGCUGAGAGUGAGUACUGAGUGACGAGAGUUGAGUCACGAGUGACGGAGAGGCUGCCCGAGGGGCCAGAUUUUGAGUGAUUCCUUGCUCGAGAAGCCUUGUCAUGAUGUUUUCACUGAUUUCAUUUUCUUUUAAAUAAGCCUCUGUUUGAUAUACUGCUAAGUAAUUGGUUCCAAAUGUUUAAACUGGAAAUGUGGUUUUAUAACAAAAACUGAUUUUUGAACUGUAAAGAUGACAUGUUAUUUCGUUGGUUAUUCCGUUAUGUAUUUUUGAACUUCUCGUCACUACUUUCAGACCUUAUUUACUUUAGUUACUUACUGAGUUGGCGUACUCACGUUACUCCCUGCACCUUGUGUGCAGAUCCAGGUGCCCGAGCAGCCGAGUGAGCAUUAUUCAGCUGGUUCAGUUUUUUGUCGGGGAUUUCGAAGUAGCUGUAUGGCGUUCGUAACCCUGUUCUCUCCCUUCUAUCUUGUUAUCUUUUCAGCAUUUUCUAGACUAUCUAUGUAGUAGGAUGUUCGGACUUGCAUUAGAGGCUCUAGACUCGUGACACCAGAUCAGUUGGGCUAUGUAGUUUAUUAUUAUUUUGCCUUCCGUAUAUUUUCUGUCAUUUUAAACAUUUAUUAUGAAAUCGGUGUUUAAAACUCGUGUUGGAAAUGUUUUCUUACUAAUGGAAAUGGGUUGUGGUUAGUGGACUGGUUGGCUUGCCUAGUAAUGGGAUAGGCGCCAUCACGACCGGUAUUUUGG
rnacentral:lncRNA from 1 species